ensembl:lncRNA
AUACAUUCACUUAUAGUACACAAACUUUUUUCACUUAUUUCUGGUGAUAUCCAUGAUGAUAGCGUAUUUGUAAGAAAAACUACAAGUUUAUCAAAACAACACUAGUAUUCUAUCAGCUCUCGUAAAAAAAGUAGAAAGUAAAAGCUCGUCGACAGCCGACAGUAGUGAUCCUACUAAUGUUCCUGUCUUUGUGUGUUCUUUUAUGAACACCAAUGGCUCACAUUGGCAUGUUUACAUUACUCUUCUGUUAGACCUAUUGCAAAUGUAAUGUUACAAAUAGCUUAUUACAUAAAUGGCAGAUGUUUCGAUGGCUGUUCUGUAAAAUAUCCUGACCACUGCAGUGGACUGGAUAAUCAAAGUAUGUGGAAUUCAUUUCUCCAAUUCUGCUUCUUAUUUUUAUUACGUUGGCACGUGGGCGAACGGGAAAGAGAGAAAUCAUUUCUGUUUUCUUGCUUUGGAGUUGAUUUUUUUGUAUGAGUAAAAAUACAAAAUAUAUAAUAUACAAUCAGCUUAAAAAAUGAUGAACGCUUGUUACACUACCAAACAAUGUAGAAGUUCAUAUCAGCUACACCUUAAGCAGAUGAAACAUUCAAAUGCGGCUUUUAAAGAUGUAAAGCCUUUAGCAAUAAGGAAAGCAUCCUAUGACACGUGACAUUUCGCUGCGAUCUUUACUGGUAACAAAAUAUUUAUAUAUACUUCUACUUUUACUGAAGUAAAGGAACUCAGGACAUAAUAAUAAUAAAUCAGGCAACAAAAAAUGUGAUCUUUAUAUGUUAAAAUCUGGAAACCCACCGGUCUUUCCCGUAAAUAAGAGAAAAGUUGCAGUAUGAAGUCAUAUAAAAUGGAAAUAAUGAAGCUUAAGUUGAAUCCAUCAGUCUUACUCUCACCAAACAGCUGCGGCAGUUUCCAUAAGCCAUUCACACCAUUUCUGUCAAACUUUAAAGAAAUGUUUUCCUGUCAGUUGUAAUUUUAACCGGAUCGGAUGUGAGCCUCCUCCACCACUCACCUGCGCUCACCAUCCCGGUCAUGCUGCUCAUUCAUCACCACGACUCCAGGGUCUGGACUCCAAGGGGAAUAGUAAUUGAUUAUCUUCAGGACGGAGAUCCAAUAGCCAAAAGACUUUGCACUACUCAAAUUUUUAUUUUUAUUCUGUUUUUAUAUAGAGAAAGAGAAAUAUAUAUCGAUCAAUUUUAAAUUCAUAGGGCAUGUUUUAAAAUGCUUUCAACAAAAGUUUGGUGACCCACUGAUUGUUGGAAGUUAAAAACUUGUUUCUUCUACCCACAAAAUGAGCUAUUACAGGUGUGACCAUAGGAUCAUUUGAGUCUGUGUAAUUUAAUAUAUACCUAUCUGAAUGACAAAAAGUCAAUACCCUACCAAAUACAUUUCUGGAAAAGAGUUUGGAAAUCUUGUGAAAAGGAAGAAAUGGAAGCAACCACUAACGCUGCUUGUGGAAUAGUAAACUUCUUGUAAAGCUGACAGCUGGUGAAUACGGGUGCUAUAACGCGGUCAAUUAUAAUCGAGUUACCGGUCAUGAACACUGGCAGUCAACAGAAUUGCAGGCAUAUCCCUGUGCAUCCCAGAGCAACACGUUCACAUAACAUGUUGACGUAACACUGACCUACGUAACUACUUGAAACAUUUGAAAAAUGUCUGUUGUGAAUCUUCCCAAUGUGUUCUUGAUCUGCUGGCUCAAACAUGCUUGGGUGCAUUAUUGCCUAUUCUCUUAUCAUAUGUACAUUAACAGCAGUAUAUCUUGAGGCUGGAGUGAAGGGGCAGAGUGUUUCUUUACACGAUCACACUCACACGCUCUUUCACUGGCUCUGAGUCAACACCACACUCUGCAAACUGCCUUUACCUCACAGAGCCUUCAGGGGAAUUCACGUCAGAAAUUCUAGUUUUUCAGGCAUUCUCAGUAGGUAAAGCCAUAUAAAACAUCUAUUAACUCAUGUGUUUUGGCCAAAGGGAAGACUUGCAGACCCUGAGGAGACUAUGACAACUUGCUCAUAUGCGUCCUGUUUCUUGCCAGAAGUCAACAAACACUCAGAUUAGUCAGAUCUCUCUUCAUCAACAGCCUUGGCCAAAGUGAGCAGAAACUUACAAAAGAGUGCGGGCUAAUUGCCCUCCUCCCUUUGCCUGCUCUUUCCUCCACUGUAACUUCACUGCUACUGCCACCCAGUGUAUUUCCAUGACAACCUGGGGAUUGUAAGACUGGUAUGGAAACGUCAAACACUUGGUGGUCUCUCGCAUCAUUGCCCACAAAAGCCCGGUGACCUACAUGUGGAGCCCGAUGAAGGCUUUUCCCAGAAGAACAGGCUCAGCAGUAUCCAUGGACGGAACAGAAACACUGUGACCUCCCCUACCCCACAUUUUUAUUUGUCGUCAAUUGCAUGAAGGCAGAAUGAGCAUGAGAAAAGUUGACUACUCUAGUAACAGUGUCACAGUGCAGUGACAUAAUCAUAAAAUGCAAUAAUUAGAAACAAAUCGAGAUUUCUAUAAAUACUUUCGGAUUGAAUUCUACAUAUGUUUCAUAAUGUUGUAAUUGUUACGUUGAUAUUAUCAAAUAUGAAUUCCACCUCGCUUCAUCGCAUAGAAAACUAUGAAAACCCUUCAACCAGAAGACUGCUAUUUGCUCCCCUCGUGAAACAAGAAGUAAACAUUGAUUUAUUCACAUUACCUCUUUGCUAAAAUAACCCCACUCAUGUAGUUACUUUUACCACCCAAAGUUUUACUAAACCUAUCAUGGUAUUGCUAACUAAGCUUCCCGAAAAGACAAUAUGCAUGGGAAUCGAGACGUGUUGCUGUAGGAUAACCCACGAAAAAUGAAUAACUUUUGUUUGAAUUGAGUAAGAUGUGAUACAAACUGUUAUAUGAGGAUGGGCUGGUUCUGUAAAUUUGAGUGCAGAAAAUGAGUCCCAAAUGCUCUCUUGCAAACAAACAUUCCUAGCAUUUGUCUGGCCUAAUCUGGCAACAGCAGAUAGUCUUUAUGGCCGCCCCAUGGCCAUCAAUCAGGCACGCUACUGAGGACCUGGUCGACAGCAGCAGGGGUCCCAGGGUCGCUACGGAGACCGCCUUUUAAAGCGGUCAUAUAAAUAAUAUAGGAAACAAAAAGAAAGGGAAAGACAGAGGGAAGAAGGGCGGAGGGACGGGUCUGUUGUCCUCUUUGGACAGAGCUUCAGCUCGAGUGAGACAUUACUAAGCUGAGUCAACCCCUGAGUUCAUGCAGCAACACAACAGGGUUCACACCAAUACAUUACUUUGUUCCAAUAUUGUACCGUUACUGUCUCUAUAUGAUCGUUUUUAAUAUCAUUCUGAUAUAGCAUACAUGACUAUAAAAGGCAGGUAAAAUGUCAGGUUUCAUCAGGUAAAGGUUCAACAUUGGGCUCUAUGAAGCCGAUCGUGUGUGCUGUCCAAAAACGGUUCAAUAAAGACUGUUGCUAAACCAGUACGCUGUCUCCUCAUCAUUUCCCAUCCCCCCAAGAGGACCGCACGUGACAGUGGCGCCCAACGUGACUGGCGGAUGGAACUGACCGAUGGCAACCACCAGCAGGGGAUACCGGCCCAGCCGAUUGUGGCGCUCGGCCACAUGAUCAGGGAACUGGCGGCCAUCCAACGGGAGCAGACAGAGGCCAACCGGCUGUUCCUGGCGGCGCUCCAGGCACAGGUGGGGAGACAGGCGCUGGAGCAGCUGACCGCAGUCCGUGCCGCCAGCGCAGGAGCCCGCGGCGUUCGCCGGUCUCACGCUCCACUGAAUGGCGGGGGACGACGGCGUACAGGCGUGCCUGGAGGCCUUCGAGGCGACGGCGGAGGCUUGCGGUUGGCCGGCGGGGGAGUGGUCGGUCCGGCUUUUGCCUCUCCUGGCUGGGGAGGCGCAGACCGCGGCUAUGGGGCUGCCACCGGCGGCGCGGCGCGAUUAUGGCAACGUCAAAAAGGCCGUGACGGACAGGCUGGGGCUGUCGCCGGAGAACCACGCCGGCGGUUCCGGGAGGCCAGGCUGGGGCCGCGGGACCGCCCUGUUCGCGUUGGGCCAGUGGCUGAUAGACGCCGCCACGAGGUGGCUGCAGCCGGACGGCGCUCGGGGGGUCCAAGGGGUGAUUGCGCGGGUGGUGCUGGAGCAGUUCGGGGAGCCCGGCUCUCGGGGGGCUCUCGGCCCGGACGCCGGCGUGGCUCCGGUGCCACCGUCCAACGACCCUGGAGGCGGCCAUCACCCUGGCAGAGGACCAUCUGGCGGGGCAUCCCAGCGGGCAGAGGGACCGGGAGAGUUCGCCGGUGUCUGCCCGACCAGGAGCUGCGCCGCGGGGAGGGAGGCUGCCGCGGACGGAGGAGCAACCCAGACUGGCUCUGCGACAGGCACCUUUUUCCCCAGCCCGCGACCCACCGGCCCCGGGGAACCCAGGCACCCUUCUCAACUCACAGAGAGGUUCUCAAGCGCCGGGGCAGGAGUGUUGGAGGUGCGGGCGGCUUGGUCACCUCCGGAGAGAGUGCCCGCUGAUGGAGGUGGGACAGGCGAUCCGAGUGGCCGGCGUUCCGGCACCCUCCCCCGGUCCGGGAGCGACGUACCGCGUUCCGCUAAGAAUCCAGGGGGGUACACGCCAGGUGAUGGUAGAUUCGGGCUGCACGCAGUCUAUGAUUCACCAGAGCCUGGUUCGGCAGGGAGCAUUGGUGGAGGCAGACCGGGUGAGAAUACGCUGUGUGCAUGGGGAUGUUCACGAGUAUCCUGUGGUAUUGGUGGAAAUUAGAUAUACAGGGAAAAAGCAUAGAAUAAAGGUCGCGGUUAGCUCCCGCCUGACGCACCCCGUCAUUUUGGGUACAGAUUGGUCGGGGUUUGAUAAGCUAAUGGGGGGGCGUUCACGACCAACAGGGUUAUGCGAGAUGUGUGCUGUGCUCAGCGGUGACGCGGGGUCGUCCGACACUGCAGACGGGGAGGGGGAACCCGCGGAGCGGACCAUGUGAUACGUAUUGAUGGUCACCUGGUGCGCCCUGACGCAGCGCAGUCAUUUCCGCACUUUUCAUUGAUUAGGGACAGACUGUAUAGAGUGAGUCGUGACACUCGGACGGGGCAGGAAAACACUCAGUUGCUGGUGCCGAAAAGCCGCCGGGAAAUGAUUUUCCAGGUGGCUCACUAUAACCUGAUGGCUGGUCACAUGGGAUACGAAAAAACGCUAGACCGGAUAAUGACCCGAUUUUAUUGGCCAGGCAGCCGCCGGUGCGCGUCCCGCCCAAGUGUCAGUUAGUGAACGCUCCGCCCAUUCCGAGGGUGCCGUUGCGUCCUUUGCCGUUGGUGGAGGUUCCGUACGAGCAGAUCGGCAUAGACCUCAUUGGGCCGUUUUCCCGGAGCGCACGCGGAUAUGGCUUUGUGUUGGUCCUCAUGGAUUACGCAAUGCGAUAUCCGGAGGCAGUGCUGCUGCGCAAUAUCUCUGCAAAGAGCGUCGCGCAGGCUCUGUUUCAGGUCAUCUCCCGAGUUGGAAUCCCUGAGGAGAUUCUGACUCACCAGGGCACCUUGUUCAUGUCGCGCACACUGAGAGAACUUUACGGGUUACUGGGCAUUAAGUCCAUUCGUACUAGCGUGUAUCACCCGCAGACGGAUGGGCUGGUGGAGUGUAUUGUGACAAAAUGUCCUGAGCUGUCGUCAGCGUCUCCCGGGAAACGGAGCAGACACACCUGCACCCGCUCAUCACGGGCUGAGCGGCCACACCUGCGCCUGAUCAGAGGCUGGCUUGAUAAGCCUCACAGCCACACACAGAGGGGGAAGAUGUCCAAGCCUCGGCUAACAUUACCUUUGUUAUUUCCCCAGACAGCAGUGCGUGACCGCGAGCCCACGUCUCCCCACGGACUUCACGGACCCACACACCACCGCGCACAGAGAGGAAGAAGGAGAGCCACUAAAUAAAAUCCACCAUUCGGGGUACUCACUGUGACCCUCGUGUUGUGUCCUUCUUCACCCCGUCACAGUAUGAAUAAGACUCUGAAGUUCAUGAUCCGUAAAUUUAUUAGCAAAGAUGAACGUAAUUGGGACCACUGGCUUGACCCUCUGUUUGGCCUCCACGGGAUUUUCUCCCUUUUGAACUUUUGUUUGGCAGGAUGCCGUGAGGGGUGCUGGACCUGGUUAAAGAAAGCUGGGAGGAAGGUCCAAGCCCCUGCAAGAAUGAGAUCCAGUAUGCCCUGGGACCACUGGCUUGACCCUCUGUUGUUUGCAGUGCGGGAGGUCCCCGAGGCCUCCACGGGAAUUUUUCUCCCUUUGAACUUUUGUUUGGCAGGAUGCCGUGAGGGGUGCUGGACCUGGUUAAAGAAAGCUGGGAGGAAGGUCCAAACCCCUGCAAGAAUGAGAUCCAGUACGUCCUGGACCUGCGAGCAAAAUUCCACACACUGGGCCGAAUGUCACAAGAGAAUUUGCUGCAGGCCCAAGAGCGACAACAACGGCUGUACGACAGAGGGGCCAGGCUGCGACGAUUCACACCGGGAGAAAAGGUACUUGUAUUACUUUAUACACUCAACUCUAAACUCCUAGCCAAGUGGCAAGGGCCCUUUGAGGUCACACGGCAGGUCGGGGACGUCGACUACGAGGUGGUGCAGUCUGACAGGGGCGGGGUACACCGAUAUACCGCCUGAACCUCCUGAAAGCCUGGAGUGGGGUGGAGUCCGUCUCUCUGGUCUCUACGGCAUCGGAAAGGGAGGAGCUGGGGCCGGAGGUUCCAAAAGCAGGUAAUCAUACCUUGCUCUUUCGAGAGGCUCGUCUCUCCGAGAGCCAGAGGGCGGACGUUGCCAGGUUGCAGGUUUGCUAAUGUGUUCUCUCCCUUGCCAGGCCGGACCGACUUUAUAGUGCACAGUAUCGAGACGCCCCCGGGCGUGACGGUGAGGUCACGGCCCUACAGGUUGCCCGAACACAGGAAAGAAGUGCUUCGGAGGGAAUUAGCGAGUAUAUUGGAGUUGGGGGUAAUAGAAGAGUCCAACCGUGCCUGGUGCAGCCCCAUUGUCCUUGUGGCUAAGAAGGAUGGAUCUGUACGGUUCUGCGUGGACUAUCGGAGGGCGAAUGACGUGUCACGGUUCGAUGCCUACCCAAUGCCCCGGGUCGACGAACUCCUGGACCGGCUAGGCACUGCAUGUUUCUUCAUGACACUGGAUUUAACCAAGGGCUACUGGCAGAUUCCUCUGUCGCCAGAGUCCAAGGAGAAAACGGCAUUCUCCACCCCAUACGGUUUGUACCAAUUUACCACGCUUCCCUUCGGGUUGUUUGGGGCCCCGGGCCACGUUUCAGCGCCUCAUGGACCGGGUGCUGCGUCCGCACGCUGCAUAUGCUGCCGCCUACCUGGACGACGUCAUUAUCCACAGCACCACCUGGGCGGAGCAUGUGCGGCAGGAGACAGGAAGUUCCUGAUUUUUGAUGUUACGUAGAUGAAAAAAGGCAGUCCUUGAAGUCUUAUAUCUAACCAACAACCCAUCCUGCAAAGUCCUUUGAGGCAUUCUUUCUGAUGUAUGCCAGACUCUCUUCCACCACUAGAUGAUGCUCAAGUGUAGGACAAAGUACUGUGUAGAAAGUGUAUUCCAUAUGUAUACACUCACUGCAUGUGUGUGCCCACGAGAAUUUGUCAAAACAUCCUUGCCAGUUGUCCCUCCAAAUCUGUUUUACCUGCAGUCACCUGCAGUCAGCCUCUAUAGAGAUGACUCAGAUGGAGGCAAUUACAAGAGCAAACAACGGAAAACAGAUGUGCAAUUAUGAGAACAGAGGUCUGCACUAACCCCAUGCUCAUUGCCCCAGUUUUGCAAUCAACAAUGCAAUCCACAGCAAAAAAAAACCCUAAUUGAGUCCUCACCACACCUAAAGCGCUACACACACUGAUCAUCAGAAACACAAGUAAGACUCAAAUCACCUGCUCGUCACAAGGUGCUUUAACAAAACAGUCACCUUAAAUGUUGGAUGGAUUUUUAAAGGACCAAUAAACUGAAUGCAAGGUAUGGUUUCAACAGUACGGGGAUCCAAAGCUGUGCAAAUUAAUUAGUACCUUCUGACUGAGGCUGCCACACACUAAAUAACAUCUGUUCAAACACCAUGACACAAAUUAACUCAAUCAACCAUACAGGCCUAGAUGACAUUAUACAACAUCUCAAGUCAUAUUCCUGCUGCUUAGGUAUUCUUCUAACAGACUUUUUCAAAAUUACUUCAAACUCCAUGACCACCUAUCUCUUACAAUUUGUAAACACAUCCCUCCUCUCCGGUGUCUUCCCAAAGCCCCAAAAAACUGUUAACUGUAAUUAAACAACUCCUAGAAGGGUAAUUUAGAAGUCGCAAAAAUGGAAAAUGAGCAAACCUGCCUUUUUUAAGUGAAAUAAUUGAAAAGGCAGUUUUUCAACAGCUAAACUACUUCUUGGCCGCAAAUAAUGAUUUCAAUGCCUUCCAGUCCGACUUCCGACAGCACCACCCUACUAAAACUUAUAUUGUCAAGGUUUUACGGUUUAAGGUAAGGUUUUCACACGAUACAUUACAAUACGCGAUACAAUAGCUCUGCAGAUUAGGUAAUUAAUUAAUUAAAUUAAAAAAAAGAACAAAUUAAUCGCAGAUUUUUAAAUCCAUAGAUCUUGAUUAAUGGCGAAAAUCAAUGUUAUUGUUGUUACAAUGUUGUUUUUAAUGAAUGUUUGUUUUACUUCUGAAGACUAAAUCUUCUAAUCUAAUGAGAAAUAAUUUUAGAAAACGUGUAUUUCAGACACUGUUGUUUAAUUGUUAAUGUUAUUUUAAACAGAGGGGCGGCACGGUGGCGUGGUGGUUAGCACUGUUGCCUCACAGCAAGAAGGUCCUGGGUUCCACUCCGCCCAGUGGCCUUUCUGUGUGGAGUCUGCAUGUUCUCCCUGUGUCUGCGUGGGUUCUCUCCGGGUUCUCCGGCUUCCUCCCACAGUCCAAAGACAUGCUCUGGGAAUCAGGUUAAUUGGGGACUUUAAAUUGCCCGUAGAUGUGUGAAUGUGAGUGUGAAUGGUUGUAUGUCUCUGUGUAGCCCUGCGAUUGGCUGGCGACCAAUCCAGGAUGUACCCUGUCUAUCGCCUGAAGUUGGCUGGGAUGGACUCCAGCCCCCCCGCGACCCUGUGUGGAUGGAUGGAUGGAUUUUAAACAGAAAACUACACACAUUUGAUCAUCUUGGAGGCAGAAUUCCACCAGGUGGAAUACGUUGAACUAACAACUUCCUGUGGUCCUUGUGCACUUUGCUCAACUCUCCAUACGUUGAACUAACAACUUCCUGUGGUCCUUGUGCACUUUGCUCAACUCUCCAUUAUUUAACGGCUGUGGCUGUUACAUUUGGCCUGGACGUUUUCAAACCACGGUCUUGUAGGGACACAGUGGUCUUCUGCAGACUGUGUGCCGUGCAGGGUAACAUUAGCUGUUGAGAUGAAAGCAGCCUAGAAGUUAGCUUAGCCUAGCAGCGAGGUUAACAUAGCAGUGCUUCAAGUGGUCCAUUUGUCACUCACCUCCCUUCUAUUUGACACGUGGAGUAAAUCCUCUGCACAGUUCUCAGGCUGUAUGUUGCACCUCUGUUUGUUUUACUUAAAAGCUCUCUCAAUUUUAAUGUAACUGACUGCAGCUAGCGGCCGUUUCGUUUCCGUGGUCAUUUUCCGGCUUAUUCCCGGUCUCGGAAGUAAACAAACGUACGUUAACUACUUUAAAAUAUUUUGUCGGCCACAUUAAUUGCAUAGAUCAAUACGUUUAUGUUGACAGCCCAAACAUUAGCUGUCAAAGCCUCUGCAUCCCUGAUCUCCUUCCAAGAAAUGUUGACCUCUCAGUGACAGUAAUUCCACAAAUAGGGAUAGUGGUGCACACUGUCAUAAAGCCACUCACGAAAGGCGUUCAUGGUGUUCUACUCACUGAACACUUAGUAGGUAAACAGAAGUAUAGUUAUGCGAGGGAUAAAGAAGAGAGCUAGAGAGAUGCUUUCUACUUUCACAUAUAGCUACUGACUGGAUUAAACCCUUGAGUGUCAGUCCCCCAAAUGGCCUUUCAUUCCCGCAGAGGUGUAUUUAAAUAAACUCAGACUCUUCCUACAGACUUCUUAUUUUUUUAAGGGAUGAAUUGUAAGUAAUUUUUUACAACAUCCACAUAACCCCCUCGGUUUCUUUUCAACCAAUGUCAUUAGUAUCUGUACGGCCCACAGUAUGGCAACAUUGUCAGGAAGUGACCACAUUAGGUAAUAACCUAAUGUUUAACUUUCGGAUAGUUAAACGGACAAACUUAGUUCAGUUUCAUAGUUCGUCAUUAUGUUACUGUUAUUUUUCUGCGUGCUAACAAUGUGUUAUUUCAAUUUAAUUUACAUUUAUAUACAGUUGUGCUCAUAAGUUUACAUACCCUGGCAAAAUUACACUUUCACUUAUGGGUAGUGGUUGGGUAAAGCCAUGUAUUAUCAUUCAACCGUAUUUACUCUUUUAAAAUCAUAAUGAUGCCAGAAACUACCCAAAUGACCCCGAUCAAAAGUUUACAUACCCUGGUGAUUUUGGCCUGAUAACAUGCACGCAAACAGGUUUGAAUGGCUACUAAAGGUAACCAUCCGCACCUGUGAUCUGUUUGCUUGUAAUCAUUGUGUGUGUAUAAAAGGUCAGUGAGUUUCUGGGCGCCUCACAGACCCUUACGCCUUUCAUCCAGUGAUGCACUGAUGUUUCUGGAUUCUGAGUCAUGGGGAAAGCAAAAGAAUUGUCAAAGGAUCUGUGGAAAAAGGUAAUUGAACUGUAUAAAACAGGGAAGGGAUAUAUAAAGACAUCCAGGGAAUUGAGAAUGCCAAUCAGCACUGUUCAAACUAAUUAAGAAGUGGAAAAUUAGGGAUUCUCUUGAAACCAAACCACGGUCAGGUAGACCAACCAAAAUUUCAGCCGUAACUGCCAGAAAUUGUUCGGAAUACAAAGCAAAACCCACAAAUAACUUCAGCUGAAAUACAGGACUCUCAGAAAAAAUGUGGUGUGGCAGUUUCAAGAUGCACAAUAAUGGGUUGCAUGGUCAGGUUGCCAGAAGAAAGCCAUUACUACGCAAAUGCCACAAAGUAUCCCGCUUACAAUACGCCAAACAGCAGAGAGACAAGCCUCAAUACGUCUGGAGCAAAGUCAUUUGGAGUGAUGAGACCAAUAUUGAACUUUUUGAUCACAACCAUAAACGUUACAUUUGGAGAGGCCUAUGAUGAAAGGUACACCAUUCCUACUGUGAAACAUGGAGGUGGAUCGCUGAUGUUUUGGGGAUGUGUGGGCUACAAAGGCACAGGGAACUUGGUCAAAAUGAAUGGCAAGAUGAAUGCAGCAUGUCUUAAUUAGGCAACGGUCCAAAACACAAGGCCAAGUCGACCUGUCAAUGGCAAUAGCAUUUUAUGUGUAAAUCGGCUAAAACACGUCACAUGACUUUACUUCACCACUAAGCUAAAGGCAGACCGGUGGUCUAGUGGUGCUGUUGGGUAGUUUAAUUUAGCCACUAGAUUAAAAAUUCAAACUUUGAGAGAAUCAGAAGUGCGAAUACACCAAUUCCCAGUUUUGGGACCCCUGGAGUGCGUCAUCCUGUGUUACCGUGAAUUCAGAAAACAAUGAUUUUCUAGCGAGGCAGCAUUUCAAGACUUCACAACAACACAGUGACUGCUGGUCGUGUCGGCUAUUUAUAUGCUGACACACCUGCACUUUCCCCCUCCUUCUGACUUAUGCAUGCCCCCGCUGACUGAUAAAAACAUGGAGGCCAUGCAGGAUGAAGUGGGCCUCUGCUGAUGAGGGAGAGAUUGAAGGACCCACAUGCGUUUCCUGUGUCUCUCCAGGCUUCUGAGGAGAUCUGCUGCUUACUCAGGAGUGAAAGCCUCAAAUUAAAGUGUUUGUGCUGACAAAGGACAAAUGGGAUUUUUCUUUUGCGCAAACGGUGCAGGAUUGUGUUGGCUUGCUCAAGUGUCAGGGAAAAACGUAAUGCUGGUCGACACCUCUAAUGAAAAAUGUGCAUGAAAUUAAGUACUGCAUAUUGCUUCCAAUUUUUAAGAGUUGUACGUGUAUAAAGAGGUUGGCAAAGGAAGAAGAGUGGGAAAAAAAGAGAGAUACAGCUAGAUGCAAGAAGAAGCAAACAGAGAAAGGGAUGGCUUUCUUCUCUCCUGUGUAUAGAUAUGUCUUUUUGUACCCUUGAAGGAGUUAAUUGAAUAUUCAUGAGUGAGCAUGAAUAAGUGCUCUGUCAGCCAGAAGUGUCACUGAUAGAUGAGGGGUGGACCUGCAUGGUGCUCCAAUGGCCAGCAAUGAUCCUCCAUAGAGAGCCAGAGCCUCAGGUACAGAGAAGGCUCGCCCUGGAAAUAGCCAAAUAUAAAGGGCUGAACUUCAAUAUAUGCAUAUACUGAGCUCCGCCUUUAGGAGGCAUGUCACCGGAAGAUAACCCCAAUGUUGACUGGGCAGCUUGAUUGGAUAUCACUGGAGAGUGGAAAAAGUGAGCCAAAAACUGAUAGAGAGAUUACAAUCUGGGGGUCUCUAUUUGUUUUCCACAGAGCGAGUCCACGGCCCAGACACUCACUCUAAUUUUGUCUGACAAGUUCUCACGGUUGCUUUUCAAUCCCCACUGUCUACUUUCUCCUCUCCCCCCUCCGCAAGAGAAGGAGGGCGACAAACACACACACACCGAUCAUUUCACCGCUGAUAUUUUGCUAUGAUAAUUUUAUUCAUGAUGCCACUCCUCGGCCGCUGUGCAACUCGUCUGUACAAGUGCAAAUGAGGAGUGUUCCAAAUGUAAAAUGUUCUGCUGAGGGGGAUCAACGACGCUCUGUGGCCAAAACAAGGCUAUAUACAAAAUGAGUUUUGUUCCAGUACACAGGCUGGCUGGUCCGCACCAACUCCAGUUAGCGUGGCUGGCUCCACCAACAUACACCAGAUGGCCUCCUCCCCAGGCAGAGAGAGAGACAGAGAGGGAGAAAAAACACGCAAAGAGAGAAUGAAAGGGGAAAAGCAUUGGUGCUUGACAUGCAUGUCCCAGAGGUGCCAUGCUCAGUCAGAGUAAUAUCUAACACUGGGCUUGGCUGAUACUAGAGCUCAUCUAAUGUGGAGACUAACUGACUGGAAAACCUAAAUCCCGCAAAUCAGAUAUAGGCAACCUUAUUUCAUCUUCCCUCUCUUUCUUCCAACUCAAUACUCAUGGGGACUUUUGGCAUGGAUUGGAUAAACCAAAUAAACGUAACUUAUUUUGUUAAAUAAAACAAAGAGGUUUUAAUGACAGAAUUAUCCCAUCCUCAUAUAAUAUGUUGGAAAGGCAAUUUUAUUUCAACACAUUUCAACAACAAGGUAAUUCAAAGUGCUUCACAUAAAACCAUGUGAAAAAAACAACACACAAAGAGGGGAGAUUUACAAAAAGUUAAGAACAUUGAUUGAAACAUUAAAAAAAGUCAUUCAAAAUAUGAAAUUAGACGUUUAAAAAUAGAAUAGAAUAAAAAUAGAAUAGAAUUUGCAGUGUAGCUUAAGAAUUCCAAAUGGCAGAAAUGGUCAAGUAAAGGCAAAUACAAAAAUCUUAAAUGUGGAUUUAUAAGAGCUGGGCAACUCAGCAGACCUGCAGCUUUCUGGGACUUUCCAGAUAUUUGGAGCAGAAAACCUCCAUGUUUAGAUCCGACUAUGGGAACAGGAAGUAGACCUGUCCCAAACGACCGGUCCGUGGCAGUUCAUAAAAUAUCAGCAGAUCAGAAAUGUACUGUGGCCCUGAACCAUUCAGUGCUUUAUAACCAACAGCAGCAUUUUGGUCCUGGUGACUUUGAUAUUUGUCUAAAUUGCUGGGGACCGUUUUGCAUGAAUAAAUAAUACAUUAUACAAAAACGUGUUUAAUUACCAUGGCAAUUCAAUAGACUGUAGACUGGCCGGCAGUUGACUUUUUGUGCCAUGAGACUGGAGUAGUUUUAAUCCUUUUAUCAAACUCAAAGACACUCGAGAGUUGGUGCAAGGAACUUGUGAUAGAUGUGGUUUUAAUCAGAAAAAGAGUAGCUCAUUAUGCCAAGUGUUGUCUCAUUUGUUAAGAGCAGCAUAAUUCUAUUUUUGCAAAAGUAUACUACAGGUAUAAAAGUAUUUGUAAAUGAUAAGAAGUAAAUAACAAAUUGCUGAAAUGCACUCUAGGAAACCAACGGCAAUCGGUUGAAAAUUACUUUUCUUUUUAUUGUUUUAAAAUUAGCUGAUAAAAUGCUACUUAAAAAUUAUCUUGUGGUGGACAAUUGUCUCUCAAUUCCACCCUUGCAUUGGAAAGAGUAACAUUUAUUGAUUUAGUCUACAAUGGGGCUAAAGGCGUAUAUAUAAGUACUCGAAAGAUGUAAAAAAAAUGUCCAAAAGCCAUAACACAGAUGGCCCAGUGGCCAAUCUUUGCAUCCCACUGCUCUGUUUUCAUUCCUCCCUUUUGGUGAUAAUGUAUUGUCUACAGGGUGUGUAAUGAUCCUCCAGAGCAGUCGUCUACCACUAACAGGCACUUCUGUCAAACACAUUACCAUCGCUGUGCUCAUUGAUUUGUGUUGUCUUUAAAAUAGGUUGUUUCAUCCAGUUGGGUGCAGUCGUAAUUGUAUCUUGCCUAAAUGAUUCAAAUAAGGCGGUCUACCGCUCUUAUUUCCAUUUCCCCUCCCUGCACUGUCAUUGUCACCCUCACUUAUUUCAUUACGGAUUCAGUAGACUUGAUAAAACAGCAGGGGUGCCCCAUUCUACAGCGCUUAGCCAGCCCGGCCGAGACAAAGAAGUGGUCAAGCGGGGAAACAAAUCACACCAAAUGGACCGUUUGCUCUUUGUGCAGCCUAGUUAUGGAAAACUGAUAGCCACAUUCAGAAUACUGAAUAGGUGUAAUAAAUGCUGAAGAAGGGGGAAUCUUUUGCUAAUUGGGUAGAGGGGAGGAGGCGGGGGGGGUGUAAAAGAAACGGCGUUCCCCUUUUUGUAUCUAAAAAUAAGUUCUGUGAAAUACUCUAAUAGCCUGUACACAGUUAAAAGGGGCAGUGCAAUCACCCCACUUCGCCCCUCCUUCUCCUCAAAGCCAUCCCAUCCUGUCUUUGGGCUGACAGAUAAACAUUCUCUGCUUGCUAAUUGCAAUGUUUUUACCCGGUCUCAAGUGACAGGCUGGCAAUGUCUACGUGGAGCCUCAGAUCGUACUCUUGGGGGACCAUUUCUGGUCAAUUCGCAUGAAUUGCAUCAUUCGCAUGGAGAAAGUGGAGGAUAAUGUAUCUUGAAGCACACUGUGUAACUUUGUGAAUGAUUGGAUGAGUUUACAGUUAAACAGGCAUUGUAGGAUUAACUAACAUGACAAAUGCAGCAGGAAUUAUGACAGCACCUGUUUAAUGAUAUCAUCGUCAACAAGAGAAAAAAAGCAAGAAAAACAAUUUAGGAACUCCUCUUCCAACUACAAUAAAGAUGGUCACAUUCAAUCUCUGGCCAUGUCCAUCAAUAUACAUAUGGUUCUUGUAAGUAUUCCAUGGAGGUACCUUUGUCUGAAUGGACUUCAAGCGGUCAUAAAACAUGCAGGCCCCUAGCUGGACACUGCCUCCCGCCAAUCAGAUGAAUAAUAGUACAAAGGGCUGCUAAAUUAUUGAGACAGCUGCUGUGCUCUGGUCCAGCACAACGCUGCUAACAGAUCAGUGCAGAUGAUAUACGAGGCAUUGAGGCCCGCCACCCUCCAGACGAAGCAUUGGCUCGCUUUCUCAGGGAGCAGUCAAAACUCAGGAAGACGUUCAACCCUAGUGUCUGUGGGGUAGAAAAAAGUAAAAACCCACUGCAUAAUAGAAGUGGGACACUGUUUCGAUGAAUCAGAAAUUCUUAGAAGGGUCUGAUCUAUCUUUUUUGACAUGCGAGAGUAGACUAGUGGACAAACUGUCCUCUUUUCUCAGACCAAUGAUGAUGGGCGGGGGGCGGGGGAGGGGGAUAUGGCUGUCUCACACUAUUGAGGAAGUGACCCACAUAUGGGGCAAGGUCAUUGCAAAUCAAUUUAAUUUGGAUUACAGCUAGGAGAGUGAGCUGUAGCUUGGAGAGAGCGGAAGAGAAAGCAUGUUGUUUAAGUAAAACCCUCAAGAACAUUAUGAUUUAUUUAAGUGAGGAGAAAAUAUGAAUUAUGUAUUGGCUAUAUGGAGCAUGCAUCUCUUUUGUACUAAUUGUCAGGAAGGCUUGUAUCCAGUGUGUGAGGGGUGGAGGGGCUGCAGGACCCAGAGAUCACAGGGGCGCUGUGGCUCAAAGCCGCCGGUCCUACAGCUACAGCCAUUGACUUGCAAAUGAGCUGAAGGAGGCUAAUUAAUGGGGGGGCUAAUGAAAGCAGUAGUUGGGCUCAAGUGAAGAAAUAAUCUGGGACCCCCGUUUCACUUCCUCCCUCUUUAUAUGAUAUUCUAGCUCUCUCCCUCUUCCACCAUUCCAGGGCUUGAUCGUCUUCUCUUUUCCCACAAGAAGGCUGGUGCCAUUGAAGUUGAUUGCAGAACGCAUCAAUAUGUGAACAAAGUUGUUGGUGGUGGGGUGCAGUGGUGACUCGGGCUUGUGAUGGGGGGUGUUCGUAAAAUUAGCAUCCAUUUGAAGCGACCCCCUCUCUGUUAUUUAUUCUGUAGCUUUUGGCACAUUUUCUGGUUCUCGACUCCCAGGAGGAGAGAUGGAGGGAGAUGGAGCAGGGUGUUUAAGAUGUGUGACGGGCUGUAAUGGGAACUUUUGCACUUUUUCUUUCUUGUUUGCACCGGAGAGAGUAAAGCAGCAGUGAAAAGGAGAAGUCACCCUCUCCUCCUGAUUGAAUUGUUUGAAGGGUGGAGGAGGAGGCUCGUAUCAGAUACCAUGCCCUGCAGUUGUUUCACUUUGAAGCAGUGUGACUCUCCUCAGUCCAGUGGAACUCCCUUUGACUACCAACACUACAACUACAACUGUUGUGGCAAGUACAUAAAAAAAGAAAGAAACUGCCUCUAUCCAGCAGUGUCUCCGACAAAAUCACGUUCCGAGGGAGUAUAAAACAGUUUGAAACAUUUGGUUAACAUUGUAAAUUCAAACUAAACAUAAACACUUCAACUCAACUACAUGGCUAUGUUAAAGCUACAAAAUAUUGAGUUAAUGUGGUAUUACAGCAGUCCCCAGGAGGAAAGCCCUCUGUUUUGUGAGCCAUCAAAAAACCUGCCAUUAAAAACAGUACAGUAGUGUAACUGCAUAUGUUAUUAUAAAUACUAAAAUAAUGUUUUAUGAAUUUGAAUAUUGGUCUGUCGCCAUACUUUUUGGGGUGUAAAAGCCCAAUAGCCCAAUGAAUAGGGGUGAAUUAUAUUUUAAGCGUCGGCUCACUUGACGUUUCUGUGGAUGCCGGCCCAUAUGGCUGCAGUGUUUGACUGGCUCAAGCAGCCAAACACGUUAUCAUAAAUUAGCUGAAAGCUUGUGCCACUGCACACCUCCAAGUUUAGCUUCUAGGUUGCAUUAUAAUGGAUUUCUUUAAGUUACAAACAUCCUAUGUCUCCUUUCCAUAUUGGUCAGAGCCUAGGAUCCACGUCACUGUUUCCCCGACCAAUAAAAGAGUCUGGAUUUAAAAAAAAGAUAUAUAUAAAAAAAUAUGUAUAUAGACCCUCAAACAUUUAAUCUUCAUUAAAUCAUUUUCUCUGUUCAAAAAACAACAUUAAAUAAAAAUGUUCCAAUAACAGAAUAUGAUUAUAAAUAAAUACAGACAAAUAUUGUAUUCAUUUUUGUAUUAGAUCUGCCCAUUUGCAAGUUUGGUUGCCUGCUUUGCACAGCUUUGUUGCUUUAAACUUACAUUUUUUCUACCAAUCCUACCUUCCUUGAAAAAUGUUAGUUAGGUUAGCUCCAAAAAAAGGGUACAAAGAAAAAAUAAAUACUUUCUGUUUUAGAAUGCACACCAAUUAAUCAUGUCAGUCACUCUGAAUUAAGGUGACCUAAUCUAAAGUUUUUUAUUUUGAACAGAAAAUACUAAUGCACUGUAGCUCCUUUCCCUGACUCCAUGCAGAUUCUCUAGUGGUUCUCCUCUUCACAGUGUUUCCUGGCUCCUGUGUUACUGGGUCAUUGGACUGGUAUAGACCUCCGACCUGAAAUGCCUCCCUGCAGCUCUCGCUCCCUCUCUCCAGGUAUGUGAACCCCUCCCACCCUUUGCCUCCCAACACCCAUUGCCCUGUCCAUCCCAUCAUGGGGCGGGGGCUCAGAUGGAUAGCGAGGCAAAGCGUAGCCUCCCAGACGGCCUGAUUUAUUGUGCCUCCUUUCCAUCUAGGCAGAGUGGAGACCCCUAGGGGUACCGUUUGGUGUGCGCUGGGAACAUCCGCCAUCUCAGACCUGAUGGCCUAAGGCCCCCAGUCUGCCGUGAUGCCAAGUACCAAAUAGUGACUCCAGAAUGGUUGCCAUUUGUCAUAUAUGCUGCCUGGGACCUGCCUAAAACAGUGGAAACACAGAGAGCAGGAACAAUGAAACUUCCUCCCUCGUCUAUUGCCACAGACAUUGAUCUUCACUGCAACAAUUUAUUAUAUCACAUCUGCUAUGGCUAUUACAGCAUGCUAUUUGAUGCGUUUACUAAAAAUAUAGCAACAUCAGAGGCAACAGAAAGCCACAUUUUAUGUACUGUAUUAACAUGUUUAUCUAUAAAUACCUCUAAGGCUGUGCAGCAACAGAACAUCUCACAACCAUUGAACUUAACUCAAUCUACAUUUUCAGGAAGCAUUGAUCUAUGCUGUUAUCCUUUUGAAUAAUCCAUUCUUAUUUGACGCUAUUGAUAGAUGGCAGCAUGUGUGCUGGGAGAAAAGAAUGAGAAUGAGAAUAUGACAAAGUUGCAUAAGAAGAUUUUGGCCCCUUUGGUAGCAUGGCUAUUAUAUUAUAACUUUGUGUUUAGCAACAUUAGCAUCAUUUUGUAAUUGUCUUUUCCAACGGGCUGACGAAAAACAACCAACUCAUUGGAAAAAUGGUCACGGGAGAAGGGUAGAUGUUAAAAGAAAAGUUGUGGACUAAACAAUGUGCCUGUAUCCCGACUCCAGUUAUUAUUGUGUGUUAAGGGUUCAGAAAACCCUCAAAUGAGGCCUCACUCUUUUGUUCUCGUCCCGGUCGGAAAUGAAGAAUUGAAAGAGUCAACUUGCUCAUUUAAAAAUCUAAAAAUAUUUAAUAACUGAACAAAGUGAUAAGGAAUACAGUUAAAGUGAAAUACAAUGCGAACAGUGGAAUAUUUCGCAAAAUAGAGAAUUCUCUGACCAAGUCUGAAGUGACUUUUCAAAGCGGCUGCAAGAGAAUUCUAACAGUCCUUUCCCUCGGGUGUAGUAGUCGUUGCGGGCGGAACGACCGACGGGGGGGGUAGUAGUCGCGUGCUCUGUGUUCGCUGGUCGUGCACGGUAAAAUGACAAGAAAAACGCCUGGUGACGCGUAGAUUAGAAAACAAGUCAGUUCUCAAUGUGAAAAAAACAUAGGUAGUACAUGAGUGUUCCUUUAACUUAUGUUGUCAGUGUAAUUGACAGGCUGCUUAACUGGUUGACUCUUAAAUUCAACAUAUUUUUUCAGGCAGUGAGAGGACAGGCAAUGAUGCAGAGAGCACAGGGAGAGGAGAAACACCAGGUCCAAUAGAGAGAGGAGAAGCACAGAGGAGCCAUGAACCCCAGAACGCGUGUUCUGGGGUUCAUGGCUCCUCUGUGCAAGGCACGACCUGACGUGAAGGACAAGAAGGCCCUCUGGGCACUACUGUAAAAAGGACACUCCGUAUGUAGAUAGUUCUUAAUCUGCAAUUGUGUUGUUGUGUUGACAUACUUUUCUUUACUGUUUUCUUAAAUUUAAUAAACUACAAACUACUAACACAUUUAUUCAUUGUCAUUGAUUGUAUAUGACUUUUACUGAUAACAUAAUGCAAUAUAGCCAGGACAGCCUUACAGAGUCGCAACGCUUUGUGUUGCGUUGCUUCGCAUUGCGUCGAGGUCUGUAUGAUCACAAAAGAGUUUACCCACCUAUAAUUUUACCACUACAGCACUGGUGGGCACCUUGCCAAAGUGCAAAGUCACGGUUAUGUUGACAAAAAAAUACGGAUUUAAUCCAUGAUAGUCAUGCAAGCCUUUAUGGCUUGGUUUGUGAAUUUGUAUUGUUUGUAUUUUUGAACUAAGUUGUCAGGCAAAAAUGUAGACAUGUGGAGAUGCUUGCUUCAACUUAGAUUGGGAAAUAAAUUGCAUUGCUUGUGACAAAAGAAGCCACACGUCUGCCUGUGUCAUUCAUUUCUAUUUUUCUUAGUUCGUCUCAUGCACAAGUCUGUCAUCGGGCUCUCUCAUCCUGAGUCUGUUACAGUAGUCUUCUCAAAACACAUCUGUAUAAGCCAAUAUGAUGUGUGUCGGGAUCUGAUUGAUGGGUGGGUCAGCCUAUAUAGGGUAGGAACCUUUGGGGGAUCGGCAGGUGUUUUCAGCCGGGAUAGAAAAUAACGUUUUUGACUGCACGCUGGGUAGUGUCAUGUAACGCACGCUGGUUGAAUGUAUGUCAAACGUAUGACAAGAAUAAGUUGGCAAAUGAAUGGACUCGUUUGCAACGUAACAAAAAAGGCUACAGGACUCUCAAUUAUCCGUCAUGGUACAACGGCGGUGCGUCAAUUAAGUUUCCAGUGGCUUAAAGCGUUGGCUUAGCCUCCACACCAUCUAAAAGAAUAUACUCAUUGCCAACCCUUUGAUUGGAGGACGACUGUACUCAGUCGCCCUGUGGGUCAGACUGUGAGACUGUGUUAAACUGUCUCGGCCCUCUACGUUUUUUACUUCGGCAGAGCCAAAUGAACACUGUUAGAUUAGAUUUUUAACACUUUAGAAGAGUGUAUAAGGGUCCACACCACAAAGUCUUGAUUUCACUCUAUUUAGAGAGUUGGCACUUAAUUCUUACUAUUUUGGCAGUUUAAAUUCAAUUCUCUGUAACACUAAGCAGUGUUCAUUUUUCCUAACACUUGUUUGUAGUGUUAACAAUUAACUCUCUUAAGGGAUGGUUUGUUAACUACUAGUGUCACUCCCAUUUUAACUCAAUGGAGGUAUACAUCUGUCUCUUUACAAAAAAUACUUCGAAAUUAAGGUUUGCUAAAGGAAAAGUGUAAUUUUUGUUUUAUAACAUUUAUUUUCAAACUAGUGCUUCACAUCAACAUGUUAAAAAUCUUUUCAAAACAUUCAACAAUAUGGAACAAUGUAUGCUUUGUCACUGCCAUUAGAGUAUUGCUUAUCAAAAGGUUUAACAUACAUCAGUGAGUCAAUACAAAUCAGAACAUGUUCAUUACUUUGCUCCUCCAUACUGUAGGCAUUAAAGUGUUCAUCAAAGUACAGUGUGUUAACAGUGCAAGCAAUUAUACUUGUGUAGGAUCAUAGAAUUGUUGCUGCUCACGCAUGCAAACACAUACAUAUACAAAAAAGUCAAACACAAAAAUAUGAUUGUGUCAUUUCUGACCACAUGUCUACGUGUUGCAUCUGACAGCGUUUUAGUUUUGUCAUACUCUGAAGAUUUCUUCACCCUUUGGAUUGGAUCUGAGAACAGUAGCAACCUUCUGCAAAAGAGAAAAAAAUCCCCCAAUUACCUUCACUCUUAGGUAAAUUAAAAUGUAUUUUAGACAGUAGGCUUUGUUUAAUUAAAUUCUGCUAAAAUACAUAAAUCUUUAAACUCAAAAUAUUUUUUAACUUAGUUUCAAAGUUUACCUGUCCUUCAUUGGGAUCCAGCUCUGCCAGGCCCCUUUUUCUGUUAUUUGUGAAUGAGAGGAUAAUAUUGAAAUCUGAUGAAAUGGAGGAAGCUGGUGAUGCUAGGUCGGCAGCAAUGAGGGCUGUGAUGCUUGAUGGUCUGGGAACACCAAUGUCUGGGGUUCAUCUGACACAAAAUAAUCCACAAGUUUAAAAACUGGUGCACAAAGGAACAAAAUAUACAUUUUCAUAUGCUGAUUAAUAAAAAAGAUUAUUUAGAUAAAACUAUUAUGCACAUUUGACCAAGAGUGAAUCAACUCCUUGACAUUAUUAAGUAACCAUACCUGUUACUGUACUGCCAAUUAUCAAUCUUGAAUUUUUGGACCUGUGACUUUUUCUGACUCAUCAAAUAUGUCUGCAUCGACCUCAGUAUCUGAUGUAUCAGUCAAGAUUAGCCCACCUUCACUGAGAUGUUGAGCCUGCAGACAAAUUUUCUCCGUCGGUAGAGAUAGAGAAAUUAAAAAGAAAUGUCAUUAAAUUAUCAUACAGAUUAUGUAAGCUUUUUGAGUGCAUAAAUUUGUAGUUUACAAAUGUAUGCAUGAUAUAUGAGACAAACCUUCUUGAAGAAACUGGAGGAAAUCAAAGAUGUCAUCCUUUUGGGGUUAGUUGUUGUUAGUUAGAUUCUGUAACGUUACCACAAGAAAUAUCAGAUUAGGGGAGAGCGGGGUAGUGUGAGACAUCGGGUAAUGUGAGAGACCCACUGUAUCAAGGCAACGGAACACAUUUGUGGUCAUGUAACCAUUAUGUUUUCAAGCCCCUCCAAGGAGAAGUUUGUGCUGGUGCUGUGGUAAGUAUGUUUUUUUCACAAAAAUGUGUACUUUGCAUGUAUUUUCUUGCUGUGAACUUAAUCAACUGUUGUGUGAAAACCGAUUGAUUCAGGCAGAAAAUAUGCGAUUAGUGUCUUGCAUGCUGGCGGUUGUGUAAUUCAACCAUAGAUUUGUAUCAGUUUACCCUGUGUCUAUGCCAGUGAAUUGGGCAAGAAAUGUUUCUUUUAAGUGUAAUUUAAGCGUCAAUGGGUCAUUUUGUUUGCAUUUGGGAUCAGCUUUUACCAGAUGUGGCUUUAGCUGCGGUCGAGGAUUGUAGCCCCACUCUGUUCCAGUAUUGCUAUUCUGCCAUCGUCAUUCCUCACAGUUGCAACCAUAUCUGAUUUUACUUUUCUGUAAAUAUCCCUUUUUUUACCACAGACAGCAGCACAAGCUCCGGUCAUACAAACACAUUUUUACACAUAUCACAUUUCAUUCUGAACGCAACGUACCGCUGAACAGAAAUUGUAUUGAUGCUAUAACUUCUUUUGUGAAUGUGAGAUUUUUGGGCACAAUCUGAGUCUAUUGAGCUGUUUAGGAAGGUAUUAUCACAGGUAUGGUAAAUGUGAAAUGGGAACCACUAUAAUUUCACAUUAGAUUAAUGGUUUAGCUUUCAGCUCCCUAGGCUCUCAACUAUUGCGCAACACAUGUAAUGGCUAAAAGGAAAAACAGUUUUACGGCUUUAAAGAAAAGAAGAAACAUGCGGUAUCCCAGAUAGCAAAAGUACUCCGCUCCGGAUCCGCCGUGGAGAUAUCAUAAACUCCAGAACAGAUCCACAACAACGGUCCAGGGCAGGCUCCAGAAGCAGAGCGGAACUGAUCCGGAACGUAUCAUGGUCAAAGAUCAGAUCCGGCCCGUGUCCAGCUUAACUUCGUACCGGAUGUCAAAGAUAAAGAUCCACUCUGUCCAGGAUUUGAAAGGAUCUGCAAAUUUCAAGUCAAUCGGGCAUUGGGGGAAAAAUCACGCCGUCCCUCGUGCUACGCUGGGACACUCUGACCACAUCAUGGUCCACUUGAUUCCUGCAUACAGGCAGAAACUAAAGCUCUGCAAACCUGUGGUGAGGGAAUUCAAGAAGUGAACCAGUCCAGUAGACCUGGAGGAUCUUCAGGCAUGCCUGGACUGUACAGACUGGGAUGUUUGCAAGACUGCUACCAACAGUCUGGAUGAGUUCACAGAGACAGUACCUUCUGUGAGGACAGCUGCGUACACAGCAAAAUCCUUAGAGUUCAUUUUCCGGUGUUUUUUUCUGGCAAAAGUGCAGUGUUGAACUCACACUGCAAAAAGUUGAUUCAACUGUUACAGAGUCAACUGUACGAAAGAGCUGGAGUCAUAACCCAGUGUCAAUGACUUGGGUUUUUAACUCUGCAUAGAGUAUUUAACACUGAUCAGAUUUAUUAUUUAGAUUUAUUUGACACUUAAAGUACAGUUAAAUCGACUCUUUGAUGGGUUUGAAAUGUAAUUCUACACCACUGUCACACUUCUUCGUGUUGGGUUUAACUCGUACAGUGUAUUUAACAUUUGAUUAGAUUUAUUUUCUUAUUAUAUUAUAUAAUAUAUUAUAUUCCUAUUCCGAGUUAAAUUUUUAACACUUUGAGUUGAUUUAACACUGACAAGAUUGGGGCAAUAUGAACACCAGCGUAGAGUUACAUUUGAAUCUCAUAGAGUCAAUUUAACAGAAAGAGAAUACAGAAAUUUGCUCUGUACCAUCAUGCACCAGGGUAGUUAUGACACAGAUAAACUCAGAAAACUACGACUUCAGAAGGAUCAGGCAUUUAGGAGUGGGGACAAAACUUGUACACAGAGUCAAAAUACACGGUUAGCUAAACGACUGUACUCUGAGAAACAACAACAUGUUCUCAGUGUCUCUGCUUCAGUUUGGAGAGGCCUUAAACCCCUCACAAACUACAAGCGAAAAUCCCCCCACUCCAUGAAUGACCUCCCCCUAGCAGACGAGCUGAACGGGUUCUACUGCAGAUUUGAUAGUCAAUGUCCUGACUCCAUACCCACAGGUCCACUCUCCUGCCCCAGACCCUCACCCCUCCCUCCCCCCGCCGAUCAGAGGCUCACGCCUCUGUAUCAGCCUCCACUCCUCCAUCCCCCUCACCAGCAACAACCCUCUCUAUUCUGGAGAGAGACAGGCUCUUUAAAAGACAAAACCCUCGCAAAGCAGCCGGUCCGGACUCCGUCUCCCCCCUGAAGCAUUGUGCUGAUCAGCUGUCUACGGUGUUCACAGACAUCUUUAACACCUCCCUGGAGACAGCCUGCUUCAAGACAAGACCUCUACCAUCAUACCUGUUCCCAAGAAGCCCAGGAUCACAGGACUCAAUGACUACAGGCCCGUCGCCCUGACCUCUGAAGUCAUGAAGUCUUUUGAACAGCUAGUCCUGGCCCCCUGAAAACACUCACUAACCCCCUCCUGACCCCCUGCAGUUCGCCUACAGAGCCAACAGAUCUGUAGACGAUGCUGUCAACAUGGCCCUCCAUUUCAUCCUCCAGCAUCUGGACUCCCCAGGAACCUACGCCAGGAUCCUGUUUGUGGACUUCAGCUCUGCUUUCAGCGUCAUCAUCGCGUCUCUGCUUCAGGACAGACUCUCUCAGCUGCACGUGCCCGACUCCACCUGCAAGUGGAUCACAGACUUCCUGUCUGACAGGAAGCAGCACGUGAAGCUGGGGAAACAUGUCUCAGACUCUCGGACCAUCAGCACCGGUUCCCCCCAAGGCUGCUUCUUUCCCCUCUGCUCUUCUCCCUGUACACCAACAGCUGCUCCUGCAGCACCAGCACCAGUCCAUCAAGCUCCUAAAGUUUGCGGAUGACACCACCCUCAUUGGACUGAUCUCUGGUGGGGAUGAGUCCGCCUGCAGGUGGGAGUCUGACCAUCUGGUGACGCAGUGCAGCCAAAACAACCUGGACCCUCCAGGACUUAUUCGCUUGCAGGACCCUGAAGCAAGCCAAAAAGAUCGUAGCCGACCCCUCUCACCCCAGACAAAAACAGUUUGUGCCCCUUCCAUCUGGCAGGAGGCUGAGGUCCAUCGGGACUAAGACCUCCCGCCACACAAACAGUUUCUUCCCGUCGGCAGUCACUUUCUGUUCGCUGGUGCACAUUAUUUUUUAAUAUUAAAUAUUUUUUACAUUUAUUACUUUAUUUUAAAACUAACCCAUGGCCUUAUACUACUAACCCAUAGCAUUAUAUUUUAUUUUAUUCCUUGUUCACUGUUGUCUUGUCGUCUAUUGUCGUGAUGUCUGCUGUUACGCACCAAAUGGCAAGUUAAAUUCCUUGUAUGUCUGACAUAUUAUGGCAAUAAAUGUUUCCUGAUUUCUGAGGGAGAGCACAAAGACGUUAGGAGAGGGUAAUGUUGGGUUAUGAUUAGAGUAAUAUGAUUAAUAUUUAAAAUGAUGAUGAUGAUGGCAGCAGUAGGUGCCAGCAGGGCCACAGCAAGUGUCAGGAACAACAAGUAACCAGCAUCUACGAAGCGCAGCUGCCUUGUAGGGCAAUACAAGCUCUUUAAGAUAAGGCGGUGCCUCACCAGCAAGUGCCUUGUAGGUGAGGAGAAGUACCUUAAAUUCUACUCUUGAUUUAACAGGGAGUCAGUGCUGAGAAGUUAAUACAGGAGUAAUAUGAUCCCUUUUCUUAGUUCUUGUUAAUACACGUGCUGCAGCAUUCUGAAUCAACUGGAGAGGCUUAAGAGAUUUACAAGAGCAGCCUGAUAACAAAGAAUUACAGUCUUGAAGUAACAAACGCAUUAACUAAUUUUUAUGCAUCACUUUGAGACAGGACGUUCCUGAUUUUCAAUAUAUUACGUAGAUGAAAAAAGGCAGUCCUUGAAGUCUUUUUUAUAUGAGAGUUGAAGGACAUAUUCUGGUCGAAGAGAACUCCAAGAUUCUUGUCGGUGCUGCUGGGUACCAGAGCAAUUUCAUCCAUAAAAACUGUAUCACGUGACAGCUGACUUCGAAGGCGCUCUAGGCCUAUCAAGAUAACUUCUGUUUAGCUUCUGAAUUUAGCAUUAGAAGUUGCCGGUCAUCCAAGUUUUGAUGUCUCCAAGACAUUCUUGAAGUCCAACAAGCUGGUCUGUCUCUUCUGCUUUGAUCGACAGAUACAGUUGAGUAUCCUCUGCAUAAUAAUGGAAGUUUAUGCAGUGUUUCCUGAUAAGAUCGCCCAAAGGAAGCAUAUAGAGGGUAAAUUACAAGUACAGAACCUUGUGGGACUCUGUGACUAACAUUGGUGGUCUUCGAGGAUUCACUGUUUACAAGCCCAACUGGGAUCAAUCCGAUAAAUAGGAUUUAAACCAGCUGAGUGCAGUUCCUUUGAUACGAAUCAAAUGUUCUAGUCGUGGAUGCCACGCCACACCCAGGCUGUUGCACAAAAACUCUUGAUUUUGACUUUGGACUGAAAUUUAUCGGGUUCAAACUCUCGGAGGAGUUUGUUGGUUUAUAAAUUAAAAAUACGGAAAAACAAGCAAAUACUUAGUGAUUGACUGCAGCGCCCCCUAGUGUUUAAAUAUUCUGAAAAUAUUGGGCUAUUUUCAGUGAACAUAUAUAGAUUUUUUGAGGACAGUACUUUUGAAGUUAUGUCUUUAAUUAUUAAGUCACACCGCUUAGAACUUUAGUUUAUAAUUGUAAAACCCAAUGAGAUAUCAACAAGUUUUACCUUUAGAUGACAUUAAGCCAAUAAAAAAAUUGUGAGAAUCGGACCCAAAAAUGUAUUUUUCACAAAAUUCUAAAUGGCGUAAAAUCUAGUUAGGGGCAUUAGCAUACCAUGUCCAAGUGCACAUGUGUCCAACUUUUAAAGUCUAUCGGUGUAACAGAAAAAAUCUCGCCAGAGGGAGCUCUCCUAGGGAGAGCUAGAGAGACAUUUUUUUCAUACCCAAAUGCGCAAGCAGAAAAAUAUCUUCUGAUUUGAAGAGGUUUUGAAUACGGGAAAGGCCUCAGAGAUGCGAUUGAAGGAUGAAAAAAUAACAACAUAAUACGGCUUUGUCCCACUUUCAGUCGUCUCAGGCCCUAAAAAUGGUUUAUUUGCUUGUGUUCUUUUCUGCAUCAGAAUUGUUCAUCAUGUAAAGGCAUUUCUAAAACAUGGCUAGUGCAAUAUUACUGUUGCAGAGAGGAUUUCUGGCCAAAAUGGCGAACCUUGUUGUUGAAUUUCCCUUUGGACAGUAGUUGUGAGCUACAGAAUCAUAUUCUAGUUAACUAAAAGCAAAACAUGUAUUCUAUACAUGACAGAAGGUAUCGGCAAUACAAUUUCAGGGGACCGAGCAUCAAAUAUGUAUAGAUGGCAGGGAGCGGUGAGAAGUGAGGGACAUUGGGUCAUUGAUAUUCCAGCGACUCUUUCAGUCGAAGGUAGAGGGUUGAGAGGGGGGGGGGGACUCAGAAUCAGCCCAGCAGACCCAGGAAAGCUUAUUGGGAUAGAAAGGGAGCCCAGUCACUCGGCUUAGACAGGCUCAAUGCAAGGCUCAACUCAUCAGACGCCUGUCAGACAGACACCUGCCGUAGUGAGAGCAGUCACAUACACUGUAUGCGUGCACUCACACACACACACACACACACACUCAAAAAAUGCACUUUUCAUCUUACACAAGGUCCACCCAGUAUUCCCAUGCAUGAGUUUCAUAAGGCUUUGUGCUACAAGGAAACUGUGUAUCCACAGUGUCAUUUUUCCAUAUUUCCAUUUUCUGAUUAUUUCUUUUGGGUGGAAGAUAGUGAGGGUAGGUUGUGUGAAAAAAAGUUCAAUCACUCUUUUUCUUUUCCUAUAGGUGUAUAAAUUGGAUACUAUACACCAGCCUUUGGGUGAGGUGAGCAGUCUUGAUUGGAAGUGGGAAUUACUUGUAUCUUCUUACCACACUUUAAGGCCGAGAAAAAAAAUCAAAACCAAAUAUUUAAUGGUUCUUGACACAAAAGGCAUUUCGACCAAGCAGACACACGUAUAUAUACACACUACUUUAUGUGUAUAUAUAUAUAUAUACCAUGUACGUCUGCAUAUAUUCACUCUUUAUGUGUGUAUGUUGUUGUGAUUUCUGAAUGCCAACUCUGUUUCCCUAUAAAAUGAUAUUCUCAUACAACUAAACUGCACAAUUAAUUUCUUUUUACUUUCUAACUUAUUAAUAUGAAACUGUUUGAGGCGUAUGGUAAGGUUUUGUCACGGUUUCAUCAAGGUUUCGUGGUCGUAGUGGCGGAGGGGGUAGAGCGGGUACGCGGGAACCGCAAGGUUGGUGGUUCAAGUCCUGGCUGCCACAUGUUUCAAGUCGAAGUGUCCCUGAGCAAGACACCUAACCCCUAAUUGCUCCCUGGGCAAAAUGUGAAAAUGCCAUGGGUUUAAAGUGUAAUGUAAGUUGCUUUGGAUAAAAGCAACAGCGAAAUGACCUGUAAUGUAAUGUGUAGUUAUAACAAAACACUGUUUUUUCCCAGAUGUUGUCACACUGUUGAAGAAGUUUUUGGACUUUGAGUGGCACUUCAUCUAGGUAGGUCAUAUCUGUCUAACCACUAUGAUCUCUUUUUUAUGUGGUCCUGUAAAACAGCACAAUCUACUUUUUCUAGUUUUUACUCAGCACUAUUCCUUCCACUA